UACGUAGGGGCAAGCGUUGUUCGGAAUUACUGGGCGUAAAGGGCGCGUAGGCGGCACGGCAAGUCAGGAGUGAAGCCCGGGGCUCAACCCCGGAAUGUCUUUUGAAACUGCCGAGCUAGAGUGCGGAAGAGGCAACUGGAAUUCCCAGUGUAGCGGUGAAAUGCGUAGAUAUCUGGAGGAACACCGGUGGCGAAGCGGCGAUCCUGGACCGAGCACUGACGCUGAGGAGCGAAGCAGGGGAGCAAA
rnacentral:rRNA from 1 species